rnacentral:rRNA from 1 species
CUUCAGUGCCGGAGCUAACGCAUUAAGCACUCCGCCGGGGGAGUACGACCGCAAGGUUGAAACUCAAAGGAAUUGACGGGGGCCCGCACAAGCGGUGGAGCAUGUGGUUUAAUUCGAAGCUACGCGAAGAACCUUACCAGGUCUUGACAUCUUGCGCUAACCUUAGAGAUAAGGCGUUCCCUUCGGGGACGCAAUGACAGGUGGUGCAUGGUCGUCGUCAGCUCGUGUCGUGAGAUGUUGGGUUAAGUCCCGCAACGAGCGCAACCCUUGUUACUAGUUGCCAGCAUUAAGUUGGGCACUCUAGUGAGACUGCCGGUGACAAACCGGAGGAAGGUGGGGACGACGUCAGAUCAUCAUGCCCCUUAUGACCUGGGCUACACACGUGCUACAAUGGACGGUACAACGAGUCGCAAGCUCGCGAGAGUAAGCUAAUCUCUUAAAGCCGUUCUCAGUUCGGACUGUAGGCUGCAACUCGCCUACACGAAGUCGGAAUCGCUAGUAAUCGCGGAUCAGCAUGCCGCGGUGAAUACGUUCCCGGGCCUUGUACACACCGCCCGUCACACCAUGGGAGUUUGUAACGCCCAAAGUCGGUGGCCUAACCUUUAUGGAGGGAGCCGCCUAAGGCGGGACAGAUGACUGGGGUGAAGUCGUAACAAGGUAGCCGUAGGAGAACCUGCGGCUG